rnacentral:lncRNA from 1 species
UGGCUCUAUUGAUCUGGACCGUUGAUCUCAAUAGAUCGAACGGUCUAGAACUGGUUAGAUUUUAAUAUAAAACUGUCCAAACCCCUCCAAACCGUCUCCCAAAUACCCUAGUCUCUCCGGUGUAACGCCGUCCAACCUCCACCCUCCCUCCGCCGUCUGCCGCCGGCCAGAAAUAGUCACCGGCGGCGGCGUAGCUCCGAUGAACCCCAAAACUACACCACAUCACCUCCUCACCCUCCCCUUUCCAACCCCACCACCGGUUACCCUCAAAUAUUUCCCGAUUUCAUCGAGUAUUUGUCAAAAAUUCGAUAGCCCCACCGUCCAUGGUGGCGACCGGCCACCAAACACCCCAAGUUUUGCACCCUAGACUCCUCGCUAUAUCUUCAUCACAGAUCUAACACUGGUAUACUUCAAAUCACACCAUAUCUUCUCGAAUAUUAAUUUGAAAAGCCCGACCAAAAUAUAAACUUCUCCAAAAUUUGCCAAAUCAACAUUGUGCACUCUCCUACACCCCUCAAUCCAAAUUCAUGCCUCAUGGCCCUCGAAUCACCCUCGUCUAGUUCGAAUGCUAAAUCAAAUUCUGUCGGAGCCCAAUUAGUGAUGCAUGUGGUUCCUGAAGCCCUGAUUUUAAGCUAAGUCAUCUAAUCACGUUAACUUUAAUAGAAUAUCAUUGUGUAUGUUUGGUUUAGUCUGUUCUUUGUAUUCAUGCUCUCUUCUCUUUUGUUCUGUUUGGUUUAGUUCAUGAUUUAUAGUAUAGUAAGCAUAGUUGUUUCUUUGGUUAAAUGUAUACGCUCAUUGAUUUGUUCUUCUCUUGAGUGUUUUUUUAUUUUGGUUCAUUAUUCUAUUUUGGCUGACCUUAUUAGUUGGAAUUUGUUUGUGGAAAGGUAGUUUGUGUUUGUUCUUUGAUUUCGAUUUCUUAUCUUUGGAUCUUUGGGUAAAUAUAUACGCUUAUUGAUUUGUUCUUUUCCUGAAUGCCUUUUCUUUUGGUUCAUUAUUUCCAUCAUUGGCUGAUUGGAUUAGUUUGAGUGUUGCUGGAAGGCAACCUGUGCUUAUGCCUUGAUUUUUUCUAAUUUUGUUCAGUCUGACCCUGUUUUGAUUUUUGUAAUCUGCUUUGGUUAGACCAUUGUUGCUGCAUAAUUGUAGUCAUUUUGGAUUUUAGUCAAUUAAUUCAAAGCUUUUAGAAUGAUUUGGGUCCUUCGGUUCAGACUUUAGGGCGUUUUGUGUAGUUGAGUUAGGACUGGUAAGUUAGUUAGGGUAGAGAUGGGCUAGGGUUAGUAAUUUUAGGAACAAUUCAAGGGUAAUCUGGGCAGUUUAACAAGGAAUUUUUGGCAGCUGAAUUAAGAAGCUUUCAGAAUUGGGAACAAAUUGAAAUUUAGAUUUCUAUUUUUUGGUAACUUGGGUAGCAAGCUAGAAAAUGAGGGACUAAGGUAGUAAAUAAAAUAAGGACUAAGAGGCAACUUAAAAUCUGAAGGUAGCCCUAUAUAUAUACUAGCACUCUUGCCUUUGAAGGUAAGAAAGAGGGAGCUGAAUGAAAAUCAGAGGGUUGCUACAUAACUCAAUCUAUUUUCUGAGCUUAAAACUUCAAAAUUUUGAUCUAAAACCAGUUCUGGUUUCUUCUUCUUAUCAUGGACUAAAGGCUAACUGUUGGAUUCAUGUUUGGGUGAAGUUCAAAUUAGUUUGGCUAUUUGAAAUUAGUAUUAGUUGUGCGAGUUGCAUCUUCUGGUCUUUUGAAAGUACUGAAUCUACUGUUCCAUUGAUUUGGGGUCUAUUCACUGAUCUUCUCACUAAAUCUGGGAUUAUUUGUUAUUGUUGUUGUUGUUGCUAUUGUUCUUUGUGACUGCCUAUUCAUAGGUCUUUUCUUCAUUCCAGGUACACACUCAAAGCCUCCUGAUGUAAUUCUUCAAGUGGAAAUAGAAUGGAAGCCUAGCUUCCUGAUUUGUGUUUACUCAAAUUGUAUAGUUGAUUAGGAAAUAGUGUACGACUGUAGUUUAAUUUAUAAGCUUAUGUAAUUCAUCCUAAUUCAUUUGGUUUGUAUAUGGACUGUAUAAGGACUGGCUCAAAAACUUUGAUUUUGUUAUGGUUUGUAGUAGAGCAGUCAUCUAGUGCAAUGCUAGGUUAAGUCAAGUGAUUUAAAGGUUUUGUAAUUUAUCAAUCAUCAGUAGGGGCUUGGUAACGUGGUAUUUAUUUUACUUCAAUAGCAUAAAAUUGGAAAUCAUGUGUUUAUUCAUGUGAGUUCAUAUAUACCCAGUUCAAAUUAGGAAGUUUUUUUUUUUAUAAUUAAUUUCAUUUUGGAAUCGUUGGUCGUAUGUCUAAAAUUCAGGUUUAUAUAAGUUGUUUUAUGUUAUUUCUCCGAACCCUGUGAGUAUUAGUUGAAUAAUCAGCAUCCUGCUUUCAUAGAUCAAACAUAUAUUUCUAUCGUUAAAAUUUGGCUGGAAAUAAUUGUGCAAGUUUAUAUUUGAAUAAGGAUCUCGAUCCACCAAGGAUCAGGGCUCAACUACUCGUCUAUGGUAAGUUGGGUCUCAACCACGGCUGAUGCACAUGCCAAUUUGUCCUUAACUUACCGAGACU